rnacentral:rRNA from 1 species
AUUGAACGCUGGCGGCAGGCCUAACACAUGCAAGUCGAACGAGUGGCGGACGGGUGAGUAAUGUCUGGGAAACUGCCUGAAGGUGGGGGAUAACUACUGGAAACGGUAGCUAAUACCGCAUACCCUCAGAUGUGCCCAGAUGGGAUUGGCUGGUUGGUGGGGUAACGGAGCACCAAGGCGACGAUCCCUAGCUGGUCUGCGAGGACGACCAGCCAAACUGGAAUUGAGCCACGGUCCAGACUCCUACGGGAGGCAGCAGUGGGGAAUAUUGCACAAUGGGCGCAAGCCUGAUGCAGCCAUGCCGCGUGUAUGAAGAAGGCCUUAGGGUUGUAAAGUACUUUCAGCGGGGAGGAGUUACCCGCAGAAGAAGCACCGGCUAACUCCGUGCCAGCAGCCGCGGUAAUUC